AGGGGAGGAGGCAGGUGUCACAUCUUUCAAACACUAACAUCUUUGUAAUGAAAAUGUUACAAUGAAAAUUGAUCAUCCUACCUCUCAGCAAGGGGGGACUUGUUUUUUUCACCAUUCUUUCUGUCUGUAAAAUGCCCUUUAACCAGUUUCUGUCUCCCCUUUCUCACAUAUCUCUUCUCCGCAUUCUUCAGCCCUUCUCAGCUAACUGAGUAAAAUAUUUGGAUCCAGGAAAUGGCUUGAUUUGAGACGUUCUAAGUUUGGGAGUUUUGUAACGUCAUUAGAUUGGCAUAAACAUAAAUGAUGACAGAAGAAAAUUCAGCACUUCAAUAUGCGAGCGAGUGGAGUUAGCAAAGGAGACAGAAAAAGUAAACAUGGAUGUGAAAUGAAACCUAGUAAAGUAUGAAAUCACAAAAUUCAGUGGAAGAAAAUAAUGCAAAAAAGAAGGAAGUGAUAACUGUAUGAAAUGGUGGCAGUGGAUUGCACAAGAAGAGAACUGAGAACUGACAAUAGGUCCAAGAUUUGAAAACGACUUUGGAGCUCUCUCAAGAAAUCCCUUAUCCAAGAAAUACAGGAUAAAUAGCCAUGUGGAGAUUAUCAACAUCAGGAGUAUAACUGUACAACCAGAGCUGAUGAAUAAAUGUUUAGGUAUUCCUAGUUUUCUUUUUCAAUAAUAUAAAUACAUUUUUAAUAAUGUAUAUGUUCUUCCAUCUCUACUCCAUAUACUUCCAGAACUAAUUUAAAGAUAUUUAGCUACACAGCAAAAUGUCAAACUCAUAACUAGUUUAUCCAUCUAAUUUUUAGUGGAAAUAGAAUUAAUUUUCCUCUAAUUUGUUGUUGGUAUUCUUGCUCUAUUUAAAUACUGAGACAGAGGUCAGUGGAAGGUAGGGGGAGGGAAUUAAAACUGAAUAAAUUUACAGGUUUCUUUCUACUCUAUCACUAUUUACUGGUUCAAUAAUGGAUUUCCAUGGUGUUUAAAAAUCAAUUCCCUGAGGACAGGUUAUAAAAUUUAGAUUGAGUGAGCACUAUCAGAGGUCAAAUUUCUAGUAGGUGGUUAGCUGAGGUAUAUAUUGGCAAAAUAAAGUCUGUAAAUAUGAAAUUAAGUAUGCUUUGCCAGAGAUAAUAUUGCUGAAAGUAGCUUUGCCAAAAUAUUUCUGGAGUUAAAGGUAUGUUCUCAUUAAAGAUGUGGUUACUUAGGUUUAUAAACACUGCGAUUCAAAAUUUCAAGGUUCAACUGUAGUUUAUCUACUCCAUACCUACCUCUAUAAUAAGAUUAAAUUUAACCUGUUCAUUGGGUUAGAGGGAUUUAAAUGACAUAACUCUAGGAAUAUUGUCAACUUUUUAGACAUGCAUUAUUAAUGAAUCGAUUCUUCUUUAAUAAACCUGAACUAAGACAAUUUUCCAUGGCAGUUUUCUCUUUAAAGCAAAAUACAUAUAUGCA
ensembl:lncRNA